GUGAAAACUGUCAAACUCAACGUCUCUCAACAGAUGUCAGGCAAAAACACACCUUAGAACCAACAUCGCGGCUCUUGGCUCUCAACUUGUUGACCUGUGACUCAGCGAUGUCAGCCCUCUCCUCUGCCUCAUCCAGCUCAUGUUGCAGCUUACGGAACUUAGUCAGGAUUUGACCUUGAGUUGAAGUUUAUCCACCAGGUCCUGGAGACGGGACAAAUUUUUGCGAUCCUCCUCAGUCUGCAAAAGGAAGUAUCCUGAUGCCUUCCAGCACACCAUUACAGCGCAGCUGGUGCAUGACCAGGGGAUUCUCCAUGGCCCCAGGAGUCUUGGUCUCAUUGGGGAUGAUGCAUCGCACAAAGUGGGGGAACAGCUCCUCCCGUCAGAUUGUUUACCCCCUUAUUGACAUGCAUGGGCUUCCUGAAGGUGAAUUUGAGGACACAGCUACCCCUCCACUGCCGAGGCGUUAACCA